rnacentral:rRNA from 1 species
UGCAUAUCAAAAAAGCGGAGGAAAAGAAACCAACAGGGAUUGCCCUAGUAACGGCGAGUGAAGCGGCAACAGCUCAAAUUUGAAAGCUGGCUCCGGCCCGCAUUGUAAUUUGCAGAGGAUGCUUCUGGUGAGGUGCCUUCCGAGUUCCCUGGAACGGGACGCCAUAGAGGGUGAGAGCCCCGUAUGGAUGGACACCAAACCUGUGUGAAGCUCCUUCAACGAGUCGAGUAGUUUGGGAAUGCUGCUCUAAAUGGGAGGUAAAUCUCUUCUAAAGCUAAAUACCGGCCAGAGACCGAUAGCGCACAAGUAGAGUGAUCGAAAGAUGAAAAGCACCUUGAAAAGGGGGUUAAACAGUACGUGAAAUUGUUGAAAGGGAAGCGCUUGUGACCAGACUUGCGCCGGGCAGCUCAUCAGGGGUUCUCCCCUGUGCACUCUGCCCGGCUCAGGCCAGCAUCGGUUCUCGUGGGAGGAUAAGAACGGUUGGAACGUGGCCCCCCUCCGGGGGGGUGUUAUAGCCUACCGUACGAUACUCCCGUGGGGACCGAGGUUCGCGCUCCGCAAGGAUGCUGGCGUAAUGGUCAUCAGCGACCCGUCUUGAUACACGGGACCAAAAAAAAA